rnacentral:rRNA from 1 species
GGAGCAAUCCAUGAGUACAGUGGCGUACGGGUGAGUAACACGUGGAUAACCUGCCCCUUUGUGGGGAAUACCGUUGGGAAACCGACGACAAUACCGCAUAAGCUCGAGAGAGGAAAGCGUCUUUAUGCAAAUAGAGACGCGCAGAGGGAGGGGUCCGCGGUCGAUUAGCUAGUUGGUGAGGUAAUGGCUCACCAAGGCUGUGAUCGAUAGCCGGCCUGAGAGGGCACACGGCCACACUGGCACUGAAACACGGGCCAGACUCCUACGGGAGGCAGCAGUGGGGAAUCUUGCACAAUGGGGGAAACCCUGAUGCAGCGACGCCGCGUGAGCGAUGAAGCCCUUCGGGGUGUAAAGCUCUUUCGGCAGGGAAGAUUAUGACGGUACCUGCAGAAGCAGCUGCGGCUAACUACGUGCCAGCAGCCGCGGUAAUACGUAGGCAGCAAGCGUUGUUCGGAGUUACUGGGCGUAAAGGGUGCGUAGGCGGUCCUAUAAGUAUGGUGUGAAAUCUCCCGGCUUAACUGGGAGGGUGCGCUAUAGACUGUGGGACUAGAGUGUGGGAGAGGAAAGUGGAAUUCCUGGUGUAGCGGUGAAAUGCGUAGAUAUCAGGAGGAACACCGGUGGUGUAAACGGCUUUCUGGACCAUAACUGACGCUGAAGCACGAAAGCGUGGGUAGCAAACAGGAUUAGAUGCCCUGGUAGUCCACGCCCUAAACGAUGCAUAUUUUGGUGUGGGUCAUUCAGUUGAUCCGUGCC